GCUAGCGUAGCUUAAUGUAAAGCAUAGCACUGAAGAUGCUAAGACGAGCCCUAAUAAGCUCCGCAUGCA
rnacentral:tRNA from 1 species